GUCUUGGACAUAGAGGCUGAGAGAGAACUUUACAUUUUCCAGUAUGAAGAGCUGUGGCUCUCCCAGGCGUGAGCAGAGUAACUCUAGGUCUGGUGGUGUGGGGUGGUAGGCACAGUCUACCCUGUUUCACCAGAUCUCCCUCCAGCUGGAGACACUAUUCAGAGUCAGCCUUCCAGCUACCCCAGAACCUGCCCACAUCUCUGGCAUAGUGGGUGUGAGGCAGAGCGCUUUAGUUUGCUGAUAAGGGAAGCACAUGACCUCUUCCUCAGAGAACGCGUUACCACUAACCAACUCUGACCAAGAGGAAGAAAGUGUAAAGGACUUAACAUGGCCACAGACGCCCAUCUCCAAUGUAGGAAUCUCACGCCUGCCCCCGGGCCCACUGGUCUCUGGCCUCUAGUAAAUGAUUGUUUCUUAUUUCUAGGUUUUUAUCAAGGAAAAGCCAGUGAGAUUACCUGACGGCGAGUAAGCCAGGUGUUCCUGACGGGGUCCUCAGAUCUACCAUCGCCUGCUAGCCUGACCCCUCAGACUGUCCCCCUUGUGAACAAAGGACGGACUGGUGCACAGUAGCCCUGUGGAUCCGUGCAUCCCAGGUGAAGCCUGCUACUUUGGCAGAAGACAAAGCUCAGCUCUGCUCACCUGGAGGGUCCAGGUUACCGAAGACCCUUUAAAAUUAAAAGUCACCAGGAGAACCGAAGAUGUACUGUCUCCUGACAAUUGUGCGACAGGAAGCUCUUGUGCUUCGUUUCUAUCCAGACAGAGGCCUGUGCCUGGAAUGGCUUGGCCUCCUGGAGGUCCCUGGCCGUCUCCCUACAAACAGAUGGUGACUAGGAUCUAUGCUUGCGGUGGAGGUGACUUCUGUGUUCUAGCCUUGGUGAUCUUAGCAACUUUAAGCCUGUCAACAAUAAUCUAAUUUUAAGAAUAUAGCAGUGUGGGAAGAUGGUCAUGUACCUUUAGAUGUCUCAGGAACUGAAAGUUCAGAGACGGAAACGUCUCACACCAUCAUGAUCCUGAUAAACUCAAUGGCUGCGAUGAAUACAACUGCUGCACCCAUUAGUUCCCAGCAAAUAGGAGAGAAAUUAAUUGCAGUUACUAACAACAUGACUGUUCCAGAAAAGCCUUUCCCCCCUUUUGGGAAAGUUUUGUUUAGCAUGAUUCAGAAUAGUAGUGACUCUUAGAAAGAUCAUAGACAAGUUCCAACAAGCUGAGCAAACUUCUCAAGAGUUAACUAUGGUUAUUUAAACUAUUGUUUGCAGUUGAGAACUGUUUCCUAGACUGUAUGUUUAGCUUUCCUUUUUGCCGGGGACACUUGGUGGGGUGAUGAAUAAGAGCUGGAUGAUUGCCAAUUGUGAUGUACCUGUUCUAACUGCUUAAAUCUAUGCCAAGAAGUAAAGCUUUUUACAGCUGCAC
rnacentral:lncRNA from 1 species